AUGAAGUCUUACUGACCACAUGAAUGCAUACCUUUUCCCCAAUGCAUUUGUUACUUCAUUGGUAGAAUAAAUAUAUGCCAUGCCUUCGGUACAUACUUUGCCAUGUAAUUUGUAGUGUUUAAUUCCUUUCCAGUAAAUUGGCUCACCUCUUAUUCUCCUUGAUGCCAAAUUGUAAUCAGCUAGUAGGUUGACUUCAUGACUAACAGCUUUGACAGUAGAAACACAAGUUAUUAAGAUGGCUUGUACUUUUGAUAUGUUUUUCAAUACAAUAUCUGCUAUACAUCUUACUGGUUUUUAAAAUGACUUGUACGUUUUUGCUACUCGUUAUUUGAUUAAUGCUGUUAUUUUCACCAUAGUUUUAGUUCCUGUACUUCUAGUGAAGAUUGCAUUUUCCUAAAAAGUAUUUUACUUGGAACUCUGAACUCUGAACCUCAUGUGGCUGUGUGUGCUUUGCAGGUCAGUGAUUUCAUUCACACAACAAACAACCUUGUACUCCUGGUGGCAGAUUCUUGUCAUGGAGAGGAGCAUCCUUAACAAGAUGUCAUGGACCAUCACUGUUCACACUUCAUCAUGGUGUGCUUCGCCAAGGCUAACGGUAGAAACAUGGUUUAGGUCAGCUUUUGUUUACAAAUUAGUGAAGCUCCAGGCUGAAGAAGUUUUAAAAAUCUUGGAAGUUGUGAAGCCCGACUGAGGAAACACUAGCUACUUAUUAUGAUAGUCAGCAUAUCUGGGUUGUGAUUAUACUGUAAUGGUUGUAAUGGAGUGAAGUAUGAAGAUAAUUAACGAUUUCCCUGUGUCCUAAAUGUUUGAAAUAUCAUUAUGUCUGAUCUGAUAAUUUGUGAAAUAGAAAUCUCACUCCAAUUU